AUGUACAAUGGCUGCAAAUAGCAGCCUCCUUGGUAGUGUUUGCAGCCUGUUACUUGCAUGUGUUGCCCUAGGGAUGUUGGUGACCACC
rnacentral:snoRNA from 1 species